rnacentral:lncRNA from 1 species
GGCCCUGCUUGAGCGGGUCACUUUACCUGCCCCUCGGGUAGCAGCAAAAUCGGAAGCUGACUUCAAGCUGGAAGGCUUGAGAGUCUGUGGAAAUAAGCACCUGCAGAGAUGCACAGCCAUCUCCCUGAGGAGCUAGGGCUGGAAAACUUCUCCAGAGGUGGACUCUCACCCACCUCAGCUGGCAGCUGAGCUGGCUGAUGACUGGGACACAGCAGUCAUUGAUGCCUUUGGACAAACUGGGACUUCUCUCCUCCUCUUGCAAAUUUCCACAUUGUAAAGCCAAAGGAUGUGGCAAGCAGAGUGACAGCCAGAGGAGACAGGUUACCAAAACCAGACCUUUUCCCAUUUCAUUUAUUUUUUUUGUAAUUUCCUGAUUGCGUUAUUGAAACAACAAUGAUGUAAGGGGCAUGAUGCAGUGACAGGGAAGACAAAAGCAGGUAAAAGCAAAAGACACAAUGACAUAUUUGUGUAGAAAAAAGAAAAAUGAGCUGGCAGUAAAGGGGAAUUCACAAAUUACUUGAUAAAAAGGCACAUAGCCAUUCCCUGCCCCCACAACCACAAAGGAUGUGGCAAGCAGAGUGACAGCCAGAGGAGACAGGUUACCAAAACCAGACCUUUUCCCACUUCAUUUAUUUUUUUUGUAAUUUCCUGAUUGCGUUAUUGAAACAACAAUGAUGUAAGGGGCAUGAUGCAGUGACAGGGAAGACAAAAGCAGGUAAAAGCAAAAGACACAAUGACAUAUUUGUGUAGAAAAAAGAAAAAUGAGCUGGCAGUAAAGGGGAAUUCACAAAUUACUUGAUAAAAAGGCACAUAGCCAUUCCCUGCCCCCACAACCACUGUGAGAGUUCUCUGAUACAUGAAGGAUACCAAAAGGAGAAAAAAAAACACCCAAAAAGUCAACAAACAAAGAACAAACCACCACCCCAAAUUACAGCAAUUACUUGAUCUGGACAUUUUCACUUCCUACUCUGUGAGAGAGAAAUUCCCCAGGUCAUCUGACCUCUGCUGAAACUACACCAGGAAGAGGAGCAGAGGCAGUCAACAAGUGCAGGGCGUUCUC